AACGAACGCUGGCGGCAUGCCUAACACAUGCAAGUCGAACGAUUGCCUUCUGCUGUUAGUGGCUCACGGGUUCGUAACGCGUGGGAAUCUGCCCUUAGGUUCGGAAUAACAGCUGGAAACGGCUUCUAAUACCGGAUGCUAUCGCCAGAUCAAAGAUUUAUCGCCUGAGGAUGAGCUCGCGUUGGAUUAGGUAGGUGGUUGGGUAAAGGCCUACCAAGCCGACGAUGCAUAGCUGGUCUGAGAGGAUGAUCAGCCACGCUGGGAAUGAGACACGGCCCAGAAUCGGACGGAAGGGAGGAGAGGGGAAUAUUGGAGAAGGGGGGCAAGCCUGAUCCAGCUAUGCCGGGGAAGAGAGGAAGGGGGUAGGGUUGUAAAGCUCUUUUAGACGGGAAGAUAAUGACUGUACCGGGAAAAUAAGCCCCGGCUAACUACGUG
rnacentral:rRNA from 1 species